ACUAGGACGAACGCGGGCUGAUUUUCUCGCGAAAAUUUCGGAAAUUUGCCGAGUUUUACGGCUUUUUCCCCCAAUGGGGCAGUUUUUCUCAACCGGAAAGGCCUUGGCCACAGUUAGAUGGUAUUUUCCCGGCCGUUAGUGCAAAUUUAGCGAAAAAAACGCUAUUUUUCAGUUGCGCGAUGUGUGCUGUCAGUGCGGUGACAUUUUGGUGCCAAUUUGGAGGUUGGAGAACUUUUGGAGUUUUAGCAGAAGUUAACCCCCUAAUGAUCAACAUUUCGAGCACAACCUUUGAUCGAGAAAACCAUCGCUGACACAUCGAAUCGAGCUUUUUAAAAGGGGGAGAUCUACUGGAAAUUUAGGAUUUCGAACAAGCAAAUGCUUUUAGUCACAAUAUGGCUCAACUUUUCACUGCUGUGGUUUGUUUGGAAAAAUACACUGGUUUUCCUCAAGUUUAGGCCAAGAAAAUGAAUGAUACUUCACAGCCAUAUCACAAAUAAAAUAAGCUCGUAGAAAUCUCAGAAAACAAACCUUCAA